GCUUUUGGAGGCCGGGAGGCUGAUUACCUGCACCUGCCUUAGGGAAUGGGAUUUAAAAGGCAGUUUGUGACUGCAGCAGGCUACUGAUUACAAUGUCUGUGUUCAUUCUGUCUUCAAGAAUCCAGACUUUCAGACUGACCUCUCAGAAAACUGGACUAGGAAUCCCCCACUGACUUUGCUUCUUGGACACUGACUUGAUGCCUUUCAGGCAAUGCAGAGUUGUCAUCCAUCUGACAAAGAUAUUUUGUAGGAGAUUUUCAUCAUUUUGUGACGUUCGUGUUUUGUUUAUACCACUUCAGUAAUUCACUUCUGGGACUAAAAGUUGCUUUGGAGGUUUAAACACACUGCAGGAUGCCAAAAAAUCAUCAGAUUCUGCUGUGUUUGAAAGCUUUUGGGCCAUCAAGUGAUCAAAACCUGCCAGAAUCAAACUUGAGAUCUGCCAUUAUAAAUAAGGCACUGGAAAUUCUUAUUGUGAAAGGUCAUCCCAAGGGGUAAAGAAGCAAAGACAACUGAAUUGCCCUUGUUCUUUGAUAUGAUAAAACUGUGUGUGCAACGUAGAGCUCCUUUGGAACUUUGUUUCUGUUGGUGUUUGAUAGAUAUCAGCCUUGGAAUUAUUUUUUUAUUUAAUUUUAAAAAACAAAAAUGUAUACUCAUAUUUGUCAAAUAUAAUAUAUGCUUGAGGAUAA